AAAGUUGGGGUUGGAGGGUUUUUUAUGUUGUGCGUCAAAUCGACGGCGUACCCCGCAGACCGCUUUGCGUCUACUC